GACGAACGCUGGCGGCGUGCUUAACACAUGCAAGUCGAACGGAAAGGCCCUGCUUUUGUGGGGUGCUCGAGUGGCGAACGGGUGAGUAACACGUGAGUAACCUGCCCUUGACUUUGGGAUAACUUCAGGAAACUGGGGCUAAUACCGGAUAGGAGCUCCUGCUGCAUGGUGGGGGUUGGAAAGUUUCGGCGGUUGGGGAUGGACUCGCGGCUUAGCAGCUUGUUGGUGGGGUAGUGGCUUACCAAGGCUUUGACGGGUAGCCGGCCUGAGAGGGUGACCGGCCACAUUGGGACUGAGGUACGGCCCAGACUCCUACGGGAGGCAGCAGUGGGGAAUAUUGCACAAUGGGCGGAAGCCUGAUGCAGCAACGCCGCGUGCGGGAUGACGGCCUUCGGGUUGUAACCCGCUUUCGCCUGUGACGAAGCGUGAGUGACGGUAAUGGGUAAAGAAGCACCGGCUAACUACGUG
rnacentral:rRNA from 1 species